AUUGAACGCUGGCGGCGGGCCUAACACAUGCAAGUCGAACGAGUGGCGGACGGGUGAGUAAUGUCUGGGAAACUGCCUGAUGGAGGGGGAUAACUACUGGAAACGGUAGCUAAUACCGCAUACCAUCAGAUUGGCCCAGAUGGGAUUAGCGAGUUGGUGGGGUAACGGCUCACCAAGGCGACGAUCCCUAGCUGGUCUGAGAGGAUGACCAGCCACACUGGAACUGAGACACGGUCCAGACUCCUACGGGAGGCAGCAGUGGGGAAUAUUGGACAAUGGGCGAAAGCCUGAUGCAGCCAUGCCGCGUGUAUGAAGAAGGUCUUCGGGUUGUAAAGUACUUUCAGCGGGGAGGCGUUACCCGCAGAAGAAGCACCGGCUAACUCCGUGCCAGCCGCCGCGGUAAUUC
rnacentral:rRNA from 1 species